rnacentral:tRNA from 1 species
AGUAAUAUAAGAAUAAUUUCUAUUAAUUUUCAAAAUUAAAAGUGUUAAAAAGAUUU